AGAGGACGCAAGCGUUGUUCGGAUUUACUGGGCGUAAAGGGCGUGUAGGCGGGUCCGCAAGUCGGGGGUGAAAUUCCAGGGCUCAACCCGGGAGGGUCUCCCGAAACUGCGGGUCUAGAGAGAGCUAGAGGCAGGUGGAAUUCCCGGUGUAGAGGUGAAAUUCGUAGAGAUCGGGAGGAACACCGGCGGCGAAGGCGGCCUGCUGGGGCUUUUCUGACGCUGAGGCGCGAAAGCGUGGGUAGCAAACAGGAUUAGAUACACUGGUAGUCCACGCUGUAAACGAUGAACACUAGAUGUGCGAGGUACGACCCCUUGCGUGUCGCAGCUAACGCGUUAAGUGUUCCGCCUGGGGAUUACGGUCGCAAGACUA
rnacentral:rRNA from 1 species